rnacentral:rRNA from 1 species
GGGGGGACCAUCCUCCAAGGCUAAAUACUCCUGACUGACCGAUAGUGAACCAGUACCGUGAGGGAAAGGCGAAAAGAACCCCGGCGAGGGGAGUGAAAAAGAACCUGAAACCGUGUACGUACAAGCAGUGGGAGCACGCUUAGGCGUGUGACUGCGUACCUUUUGUAUAAUGGGUCAGCGACUUAUAUUCUGUAGCAAGGUUAACCGAAUAGGGGAGCCGAAGGGAAACCGAGUCUUAACUGGGCGUUAAGUUGCAGGGUAUAGACCC